GAGGGGUGGGAGCAGUUACAGAUCCACCCGAGGAGGCCUUGGGCCUAACUCGUGCCGGGCCUUCAGGGGGCUGUUUGCAGUUGCAGGUGGCUUUCGAGGAGGUGGCCGUCUAUUUCUGUGAGGAGGAGUGGAGGGUACUGUCGGCCAGGCAGCAGCGGCUUUACAAGGAUGUGAUGAGGGACAACUACAGGGCCCUGCGCUCUCUAGGUUGGGCUGAGACCAAGCCAGACCUCGUGUUCCAGAUUGAGCGAGGGGAAGAGCCGUGGGCCCGGGCUGCCCUGAGCUCAAGGGCAGGAGCAAAGUGGAAAUACUUCUCUCCAGGCUCUGAGGCCACCUCCUUGCCCACAUUCUCCUCAACUUCAUUGGAGCCCUCGUCUGACAACCCACUUCUACCAGGCUUCCUCCAGCUGCACCACACUUCUUCCAGCUGCCCAUGGGCCCAGGAGGCAGAGCUGCAGUGCCAAGAAGAGCGAGGAAGCACCAGUAAGGAGGCAGAAGGAGAAGAGAGCCUCCCCUUGGACAGGACUGUUCCGGAUGGGACAGGGCCCAGGAACAAGGACACUGGGGACAAGCUGUCUUUGUCUGGAGCUUCCCAGGCUUCAGCCCUAGAAGCUGAGCAGAAAGAACCCUUGACUUAUGGCCCAGGCGGCUCAGGGUCCUGCGGAGGGCUUGGAACAGACUUGACCCCUGAGCCCGCACUCCAGAGAGCAGAGGGCCCGGAACUUCCAGCGCUCCAACGGCAGGCUCAGAGCCUGAAGGAGAAUAUUGGCAGCAUAGUCCAGGAGCUGAGGACAGCGAGACUCCACCUGGCUAGCAUAAGGAAUGCCCUGCUGAUAUGGUCUUCCCAGUUCCUCUCCCUUCCUAUAAAUGCUCCGGACCCGUAA
rnacentral:lncRNA from 1 species